rnacentral:rRNA from 1 species
UACAGAGGGUGCGAGCGUUGUUCGGAAUUACUGGGCGUAAAGCGCGCGCAGGCGGCUCUUUAAGUCCGUUGGGGAAAGACCGGGGCUCAACCCCGCGUCAGCCAUGGAUACUGGGGAGCUGGAGACAGGUAGAGGCAAGCGGAAUUCCGGGUGUAGCGGUGGAAUGCGUAGAGAUCCGGAAGAACACCGGAGGCGAAGGCGGCUUGCUGGACCUGGUCUGACGCUGAGGCGCGAAAGUGUGGGGAGCAAACAGG